AUCAAAUCAAACAUGUCAUUAAAUAAACACAUCUGGAACCUUCAUUAGGAGUUUGAUUCCUGGAAUCCCUCAGUUAACUCCUGUUAGAGGCAGUAGGAGCUGAGAGAGAGUUAUGGAGAGGAGAAAGGCAGUAUGAGCUGAGAGAGAGAGUUAUGGAGAGGAGAAAGGCAGUAGGAGCUGAGAGAGAGUUAUGGAGAGGAGAAAGGCAGUAUGAGCUGAGAGAGAGAGUUAUGGAGAGGAGAAAGGCAGUAGGAGUUGAGAGAGAGUUAUGGAGAGGAGAAAGGCAGUAGGAGUUGAGAGAGAGUUAUGGAGAGGAGAAAGGCAGUAGGAGUUGAGAGAGAGUUAUGGAGAGGAGAAAGGCAGUAGGAGUUGAGAGAGAGUUAUGGAGAGGAGAAAGGCAGUAGGAGUUGAGAGAGAGAGUUAUGGAGAGGAG
ensembl:lncRNA